AAUGAACGUUGGCGGCGUGGAUUAGGCAUGCAAGUCGAGCGCGAAGGGUUGAAUGCUUGCAUUGGACCCUGAAAGCGGCGAAAGGGAGAGUAACGCGUAGGAUACCUGCCCUCAGACCCGGGAUAGCGGCGGGAAACUGCCGGUAAUACCGGAUAAUGUCUCCGGACCAAAGGUGUGACUCCGUCUGAGGAUGGUCCUGCGUCCUAUUAGUUAGUUGGUGAGGUAAUGGCUCACCAAGACGAUGAUGGGUAGCGGGCGUGAGAGCGUGGCCCGUCUCACUGGGACUGAGACACUGCCCAGACACCUACGGGUGGCUGCAGUCGAGAAUCUUCCGCAAUGGGCGAAAGCCUGACGGAGCGACGCCGCGUGCGGGAUGAAGGCCUUCGGGUUGUAAACCGCUGUCAGUGGGGUGGAAAUCGGUUGGGGCACUCCCCUUCCGUUGACCUAACCGCAGAGGAAGUCCGGGCUAAGUACGUGCCAGCCGCCGCAGUAAAAC
rnacentral:rRNA from 1 species